rnacentral:rRNA from 1 species
UACGAAGGGGGCUAGCGUUGUUCGGAAUUACUGGGCGUAAAGCGCACGUAGGCGGCUUUGCCAGUCAGGGGUGAAAUCCCGGGGCUCAACCUCGGAACUGCCUCUGAUACAGCAAGUCUUGAGUCCGGAAGAGGUGGGUGGAAUUCCUAGUGUAGAGGUGAAAUUCGUAGAUAUUAGGAAGAACACCAGUGGCGAAGGCGGCCCACUGGUCCGGUACUGACGCUGAGGUGCGAAAGCGUGGGGAGCAAACAGG